AUGAAUACCUUCUUUGCAAAAAAAUUAGAGGAUUGGCGAUUUUCUUUCUUUGCAGGUAAAUGGAGAAUGACGAACAUCUUCUCCGCGGUGAAGGAGAACGACGAAUAUCUUCUCCACAUAGAAAAAAGGGAGAGCGGCGAGUAUAUAUCCUGGAAGAAGAAAAAGAUGAAUGGUGAAUAUAUCAGUACACUCAAGAAUGCCGACGAACAAGGUAUAUUCCUCGUUAGCCUUGAUGAAUUCAGGUUAAUCAAACAGAGGCAAGACAUUUGGCCCUCAAGCAUGCAUCUUACGUACUACCCACCUGUACAUUUAAUUAAAGUUAUUUUUACGUGCUGGGUUGACCAUAUAUGUGGGAAUCUCAUGAAAAUAUAG
rnacentral:rRNA from 1 species